rnacentral:rRNA from 1 species
AUUGAACGCUGGCGGCAGGCCUAACACAUGCAAGUCGAGCGGAGCGGCGGACGGGUGAGUAAUGCCUAGGAAUCUGCCUGGUAGUGGGGGAUAACGUCCGGAAACGGGCGCUAAUACCGCAUACUAUCAGAUGAGCCUAGGUCGGAUUAGCUAGUUGGUGGGGUAAAGGCAUACCAAGGCGACGAUCCGUAAAGGGUCUGAGAGGAUGAUCAGUAAAACUGGAACUGAGACAAGGUCCAGACUCCUACGGGAGGCAGCAGUGGGGAAUAUUGGACAAUGGGCGAAAGCCUGAUCCAGCCAUGAUGCGUGUGUGAAGAAGGUCUUCGGAUUGUAAAGCACUUUAAGUUGGGAGGCGUUACCAACAGAAUAAGCACCGGCUAACGUCGUGCCAGCAGCCGCGGUAAUAC